CGAACUGGCAUCGGGCUAAUAUCCCGGUGUCUUGACGGUACUGCCUUAGCAAGCAUCGGCUAACUCUGUGCCAGCAGCCGCGGUAAGACAGAGGAUGCGAACGUUGCUCGGAUUUACUGGGCGUAAAGCGCGUGUAGGCGGUCUCGUUAGUCGGGUGUGAAAGCCCCGGGCUCAACCCGGGAAGUGCACCCGAUACUGCGAGACUGGGGUACUGAAGAGGAGAGCGGAAUUCCCGGUGUAGAGGUGAAAUUCGUAGAUAUCGGGAGGAACACCAGUGGCGAAGGCGGCUCUCUGGGCAGAUACCGACGCUGAGACGCGAAAGCGUGGGGAGCAAACAGGAUUAGAUACCCUGGUAGUCCACGCUGUAAACGAUGACGACUGGGUGUUGCAGGUAUUGACCCCUGCGGUGCCGAAGCCAACGCGUUAAGUCGUCCGCCUGGGAAGUACGGCCGCAAGGCUAAAACUCAAAGGAAUUGACGGGAG
rnacentral:rRNA from 1 species